UACGUAGGGUGCGAGCGUUGUCCGGAAUUAUUGGGCGUAAAGAGCUUGUAGGCGGUCUGUCGCGUCUGCUGUGAAAAUCCGGGGCUCAACCCCGGACUUGCAGUGGGUACGGGCAGACUAGAGUGUGGUAGGGGAGACUGGAAUUCCGUGGUGUAGCGGUGAAAUGCGCAGAUAUCAGGAGGAACACCGGUGGCGAAGGCGCCACUCGUGGGCCGGUACUGACGCUGAGGAGCGAAAGCGUGGGUAGCAAACAGG
rnacentral:rRNA from 1 species